rnacentral:rRNA from 1 species
AUGAACGCUGGCGGCGUGCUUCACACAUGCAAGUCGCACGGUGAAGGCGGAGCUUGCUCUGCUGGAUCAGUGGCGAACGGGUGAGUAACACGUGAGCAAUCUGCCCCUGACUCUGGGAUAAGCGCUGGAAACGGCGUCUAAUACUGGAUACGAGCUGCGAAGGCAUCUUCAGCAGCUGGAAAGAACUUCGGUCAGGGAUGAGCUCGCGGCCUAUCAGCUUGUUGGUGAGGUAACGGCUCACCAAGGCGUCGACGGGUAGCCGGCCUGAGAGGGUGACCGGCCACACUGGGACUGAGACACGGCCCAGACUCCUACGGGAGGCAGCAGUGGGGAAUAUUGCACAAUGGGCGUAAGCCUGAUGCAGCAACGCCGCGUGAGGGACGACGGCCUUCGGGUUGUAAACCUCUUUUAGCAGGGAAGAAGCGAAAGUGACGGUACCUGCAGAAAAAGCGCCGGCUAACUACGUG